rnacentral:lncRNA from 1 species
UUACAUAGUUACAAGCUUGACUCUUGAAGUUAUUGAACUAUAUCUAAAAUGUCAUGACCCGGAACUCCCAUUGAGCCCAUGACAACCGCCGUGAAGCCUCGACAGACAUUCUUCACCCCGAAUGCCGAUCAAAACCUCGCAAGGCUCUCGUAUCAGCUUUCGUACUUCCCCGGUGAGCAAUAGUUAUCAAAUAUCGUAAUUCGAAGGAUUACAAGUCAUUUCCAAAUCAGAACAUAACAUAUUGUUUUCUGGCUCACAGGGGCAUUUUCGUUGUUUUUCUUUGAAAAUAUCGAAACCCACCAAAAACAUGAUGUAAAAGCUAAAUAUGUUCAUACAUACUUUAAAUCAGAUAACUGAAGUAUAAAAUUACUUUUACAGUGACAUAUGGACCCCCAACUGACCAAAAUGCAUCGAAAGCUAAAAACCUACAACUUUUGCCUAUUCAAGUCCAAAUGAAGGUCCUUGUCAAAGUCAGCUAACUAUGGAAUUCUCUAAGCCUGAAAUGUGAGUAAAUAAGGGUGGUGAGAUUAUAAAAUCCCAGUGAGUAAACAGACACCAUCUAAACUAUCUAAAGGCGAGCAAAUGGAGACGAAUUAAAAUAUUCUUUUCCAAUAUAUGUUUCAUAACAUGAAUAUUCAGUUUACUCAAUUAAUCAACAUGGCUUAUAUAUCUCACAAAACUUGGCUCCUGCCAAAAUCAUUCCCGAGGAUGCCUUGGCCUAGGCAUCUGAUCGAGACCACCAAGGCGGUUAAAUGUCUUUACAUCCAAAAUUCUAGCCAUGCCUUGGUGUUGGCUAAGUCUCACUCUCAUGCAGUGGUCCACGUGAAGUGCACUCAAAUCUUUACCUCAGGAGAUACUUCAUCCAACAUAUCCCCCGGAAGGUAAUUAUAUAACUGGAUUACUGUGCCCCUCUCAUAGGCAGCCCAUGGAAACCCCCACCACUGCAGUGACUAUGGAUUAUUUUAUCUACCAU